AAGUCGUAACAAGGUAUCCGUAGGUGAACCUGCGGAUGGAUCAUUAUCAACGUAUCCACGUAUCAACCAUUGUGAACUGUUCUACCUUUAGAAAGAAAGUGGUGAUAAGAAGAGAUUUUGGGUAAUACCAAGUUUCUUUAUCUUUCUAAAGUGUAUUUUUCUUAUCAUCAUCUUUAUUAACCAUUUUAACCAAAUUUUUUAACUUUUGAACUGAUCUAUUUCUUACUCUUCGGAGAAGAAAUUCGAUUUACGAAACAUAAGAACAACUCUUAGCAACGGAUAUCUUGGUUCUC
rnacentral:misc_RNA from 1 species